rnacentral:misc_RNA from 1 species
AGUCGUAACAAGGUCUCCGUUGGUGAACCAGCGGAGGGAUCAUUACCGAGUUAUACAACUCCCAAACCCACUGUGAACCUUACCUCAGUUGCCUCGGCGGGAACGCCCCGGCCGCCUGCCCCCGCGCCGGCGCCGGACCCAGGCGCCCGCCGCAGGGACCCCAAACUCUCUUGCAUUACGCCCAGCGGGCGGAAUUUCUUCUCUGAGUUGCACAAGCAAAAACAAAUGAAUCAAAACUUUCAACAACGGAUCUCUUGGUUCUGGCAUCGAUGAAGAACGCAGCGAAAUGCGAUAAGUAAUGUGAAUUGCAGAAUUCAGUGAAUCAUCGAAUCUUUGAACGCACAUUGCGCCCGCCAGCAUUCUGGCGGGCAUGCCUGUUCGAGCGUCAUUUCAACCCUCGAGCCCCCCCGGGGGCCUCGGUGUUGGGGGACGGCACACCAGCCGCCCCCGAAAUGCAGUGGCGACCCCGCCGCAGCCUCCCCUGCGUAGUAGCACACACCUCGCACCGGAGCGCGGAGGCGGUCACGCCGUAAAACGCCCAACUUUCUUAGAGUUGACCUCGGAUCAGGUAGGAAUACCCGCUGAACUUAAGCAUAUCAAUAAGCGGAGGA